rnacentral:rRNA from 1 species
AUCCAUGGCCAUGCUACCCUGAACAAACCCAAUCCUGUCUGAUCUCGGAAGCUAAGCAGGGUUGGGCCUGCUUAGUACUUGGACGGGAGACCACCUAGGAAGACCAGGUGCUGUAGGUG